GACGAACGCUGGCGGCGUGCUUAACACAUGCAAGUCGAACGGAACGGCCCUGCCUUUGUGGGGUGCUCGAGUGGCGACCGGGUGAGUAGCCCGUGAGUUACCUGCCCCUGACUUUGGGAUAAGCUCAGGCCACUGGGGCUAAUACCGGCUAGGAGCUCCCGCCGCAUGGUGGGGGUGGGAAAGAUUCGGCGGUUGGGGUUGGAAUCGCGGCCUAUCAGCUUGUUGGUGGGGUAGUGGCUUACCAAGGCUAUGCCGGGUGGCCGGCCUGAGAGGGGGACCGGCCAAGCUGGGACUGAAAUACGGCCCAGACCCCUACGGGAGGCAGCAGUGCGGAAGAGUGCACAAGGGGCGGAAGCCUGAUGCAGCAACGCCGCGUGGGGGAUGACGGCCAUCGGUUUGUAUACCACAUUCGCCUGAGACGAAGCGAGAAUGACGGUACCGGGAGAAGAAGCACCGGCUAACUACGUG
rnacentral:rRNA from 1 species